rnacentral:rRNA from 1 species
UGCAGUCGAGCGGACCGACGGGAGCUUGCUCCCUUAGGUCAGCGGCGGACGGGUGAGUAACACGUGGGUAACCUGCCUGUAAGACUGGGAUAACUCCGGGAAACCGGGGCUAAUACCGGAUGCUUGAUUGAACCGCAUGGUUCAAUCAUAAAAGGUGGCUUUUAGCUACCACUUACAGAUGGACCCGCGGCGCAUUAGCUAGUUGGUGAGGUAACGGCUCACCAAGGCGACGAUGCGUAGCCGACCUGAGAGGGUGAUCGGCCACACUGGGACUGAGACACGGCCCAGACUCCUACGGGAGGCAGCAGUAGGGAAUCUUCCGCAAUGGACGAAAGUCUGACGGAACAACGCCGCGUGAGUGAUGAAGGUUUUCGGAUCGUAAAACUCUGUUGUUAGGGAAGAACAAGUACCGUUCGAAUAGGGCGGCACCUUGACGGUACCUAACCAGAAAGCCACGGCUAACUACGUGCCAGCAGCCGCGGUAAUACGUAGGUGGCAAGCGUUGUCCGGAAUUAUUGGGCGUAAAGCGCGCGCAGGCGGUUUCUUAAGUCUGAUGUGAAAGCCCCCGGCUCAACCGGGGAGGGCAUUGGAAACUGGGGAACUUGAGUGAGAAGAAGAGAUGGAAUUCCCGUGUAGCGGUGAAAUGCGUAGAGAUGUGGAGGAACACCAGUGGCGAAGGGACUCUCUGGUCUGUACUGACGCUGAAGCGCGAAAGCGUGGGGAGCGAACAGGAUUAGAUACCCUGGUAGUCCACGCCGUAAACGAUGAGUGCUAAGUGUUAGAGGGUUUCCGCCCUUUAGUGCUGCAGCAAACGCAUUAAGCACUCCGCCUGGGGAGUACGGUCGCCAGACUGAAACUCUAAGGAAUUUUGACGGGGCCGCACAAGCGG